rnacentral:rRNA from 1 species
UACGGGGGGGGCAAGCGUUGUUCGGAAUUACUGGGCGUAAAGGGCUCGUAGGCGGCCAACUAAGUCAGACGUGAAAUCCCUCGGCUUAACCGGGGAACUGCGUCUGAUACUGGAUGGCUUGAGUUUGGGAGAGGGAUGCGGAAUUCCAGGUGUAGCGGUGAAAUUCGUAGAUAUUCGCAAGAACACCGGUGGCGAAGGCGGCCAACUGGACCAUUACUGACGCUGAGGCGCGAAAGCGUGGGGAGCAAACAGG